CCUACGGGUGGCUGCAGUGAGGAAUAUUGGGCAAUGGGCGCAAGCCUGACCCAGCAACGCCGCGUGAAGGAAGAAGGCUCUCGGGUUGUAAACUUCUUUUAUCAAGGACGUAACAAAUGACGGUACUUGAUGAAUAAGCCACGGCUAACUACGUGCCAGCAGCCGCGGUAAUACGUAGGCGGCAAGCGUUAUCCGGAUUUACUGGGUGUAAAGGGCGUGUAGGCGGGACUGCAAGGCAGGUGUGAAAACCAUGGGCUCAACCCAUGGCGUGCAUUUGAAACUGUAGUUCUUGAGUGUUGGAGAGGCAGGCGGAAUGCGGGGUGUAGCGGUGAAAUGCGUAGAUAUACGGAGGAACACCAGUGGCGAAGGCGGCCUGCUGGACAAUAACUGACGCUGAGGCGCGAAAGCGUGGGGAGCAAACAGGAUUAGAUACCCUGGUAGUC
rnacentral:rRNA from 1 species